AUGGAGACCUGGGAGAGUGGGAAGAAAGCAUGUGAUAUGGACAAACAAAGGCACCCACAUCUAUGGCUUUGAUCUCCACUGCAGACAGCGUUCUGCUCCAUCUCAGAAGAGGUUGCCGUGUGUGCCCCAUUAGCUGGCCUUUGGAAUAAACUCACAACAGAACUUGCGGCUAGAAUUCCACCACUGACCAUUCGCAAAGAGAAUCUCUGGCAAAUAUAUCCCUCAAGGAAUUUAAGUUUCAUAAACACAGG
rnacentral:lncRNA from 1 species